rnacentral:tRNA from 1 species
CUGCGCGGUAGGAGACCUUCGCGAGCACCGUGACCUUGCCGCGGGCACCGACCCGCUCGAGCGUCAGCGAGCCCGUGCAGG